rnacentral:rRNA from 1 species
GACAGAGGAUGCAAGCGUUAUCCGGAAUGAUUGGGCGUAAAGAGUUGCGUAGGUGGCAUAGUAAGUUGGUAGUGAAAGCGUUCGGCUCAACCGGAUAAACAUUAUCAAAACUGCUAAGCUAGAGGAUGAGAGAGGUUAUUGGAAUUCCCAGUGUAGGAGUGAAAUCCGUAGAUAUUGGGAGGAACACCGAUGGCGUAGGCAGAUAACUGGCUCAUUCCUGACACUAAGGCACGAAAGCGUGGGUAGCAAACGGG